AAUGACCAUGGGUCCUCUUAUAUACUUGAGGCCCAAGUACAUUCCUUUAAACGAUCGUAACUAACUCGUAACAACCUCUUCCACGUCAGCAGUCUCCUCUUCUCUUCUUCCUUCUUCCUGCUGCUUCUUUCUCUUCCUCACAUAGACCCUCCAGGGCAUAUCAAUACCCCUAUUGGCGAGACUCAGCUUGUCCUCAAGUGAGAAAGAAGGAAACUGAU
rnacentral:lncRNA from 1 species